rnacentral:rRNA from 1 species
UACGAAGGGGGCUAGCGUUGUUCGGAAUUACUGGGCGUAAAGGGCGCGUAGGCGGCUUGGCAAGUUGGGUGUGAAAGCCCAGGGCUCAACCCUGGAAUUGCACUCAAGACUGCUUUGCUUGAAUUCGGUAGAGGUUGGUGGAACUCCCAGUGUAGAGGUGAAAUUCGUAGAGAUUGGGAAGAACACCCGUGGCGAAGGCGGCCAACUGGACCGACAUUGACGCUGAGGCGCGAAAGCGUGGGGAUCAAACAGG